GUUCAUGAGCGGCGGCGAUUGCUUACCAUCAGGUGAUACGUCUGCUCGUUUACCGGCUUAUAUUAUACCGGGCAUACCGGGGCAUACCGGGGCUCCGGCUCGAAAAGCAGGAGUAGGAACGGGGUGGUUUUUAGUUAGUAAGAGUCUGACACUACCUCUCGCCUCGCCCAAGGCGGGAGAAGUCACUGGAUGAUUUUCCCCCCUUAAAAAAUAUCAUAAAAAACGCAUUGAGCAAGCGUAGUGAUUACUGUUCAAACCUUCUCCGUGUGAGAAGAGGCCUUUGGUCAGCAGUGGCCACUUAUGGGCUGUUGACGAUUUUUAAUACCUACAUAUAUGUAUAAACGAAUACAUAAUGUGUUUGUUAUUGUAAUUUUUUAAAACCAAAAAUCCGGAAAAGUUUUUGACCAAACUGGUUAUCGUUUUAAAACCAGUUUUGUAUUAAAAAAAAACUACUAAAUGUCAAGUCUGACCGUGAGUCUAAAUUAUAGCGGCUUUUGACAAAAACGUGCAAUGAACUGUGUGACGUAACUGCUGAGUAAAGGGCAAAGGGUCUAAAUUCGUUUCCCGGGUCGGGUAUGAUAUGCUAAAUGAAAUUAUUUGAUUAUUGACAAGUUAUUUUAGAGUUUACUCAAGAAUUGGGGUUUGAAGUUACCGGUUUGAGUCUCGAUUGAGACAUUUGUUUUAUGGAAACUUUUUCGUGUUUAUAUAAUUUAUCACCCACUGCUUUUUUAAAGUUUUUGAGGUUUUUUUUUUAUAAUGUGGCAUUAAAAAUACAUACAAUUAGAAAUAAUUUAUUAGACAAAACAACGUUGAACGGGUCAGCUAAUUAAUAUAAUAAUUAUAGAUUCUCUAAGAUGUGUUCAUGUGUUCUCAUCCCAAAAUCAGGUUUAUCAGAGAGCUGUUGCUGCCCGCUCUACAUCUGUACAUGUGUAGUCUCUUAGUCAGACCUUAGAACACCCGCGGUAAGAUUAGGGGUAGUAAUCACUACAUAGUAUAAAACAAAGUCGCUCUCUCUGUCCCUAUGUCCCUUUGUAUGCUUGAAUCUUUAAAACUACGCAACGGAUUUUGACGCGGUUUUUUUAAUAGAUAGAGUAAUUCAAGGGGAUGUUUAUAUGUAUAAUACAUGCUUAAUAUAUAGUACGUUAUAUUUUACUAAGUAUUUCAAGCAACCUUGUGCUUUUGAUGCAUAAAACAAAUGAAAGAUAUUUUAAAUUUAAACUAGAAUGUUAAUAACAAGGUUUCAUAAUGACCGGAAACCUUUCAGAUUGGCCGUGAAAUGUUAAAAAGUAAAUAUAAGUGUAAGGCAUGUUCAUACACGUGUAUUUUAAUUUAAAAACUAUAUGUAGCAGAUCGUGAUGGAAGCUAAAGUAUGUAAGGAGCGUAGUAGGUGGCGCUCUGCAGUUUCUGUAUACCAUCAGAUGUAUGAAUGUGAUGGAAGCUAAAUAAGUAUGUAAGGAGCGCAGUAGGCGGCGCUCUGUAGUUUCUGUAUACCAUCAGAUGUAUGAAUGUGAUGGAAGCUAAAUAAGUAUGUAAGGAGCGCAGUAGGUGGCGCUCUGUAGUUUCUGUAUACCAUCAGAUGUAUGAAUGUGAUGGAAGCUAAAUAAGUAUGUAAGGAGCGCAGUAGGUGGCACUCUGUAGUUUCUGUAUACCAUCAGAUGUAUGAAUGUGAUGGAAGCUAAAUAAGUAUGUAAGGAGCGUAGUAGGUGGCGCUCUGUAGUUUCUGUAUACCAUCAGAUGUAUGAAUGUGAUGGAAGCUAAAUAAGUAUGUAAGGAGCGUAGUAGGUGGCGCUCUGUAGUUUCUGUAUACCAUCAGAUGUAUGAAUGUGAUGGAAGCUAAAUAAGUAUGUAAGGAGCGUAGUAGGUGGCGCUCUGUAGUUUCUGUAUACCAUCAGAUGUAUGAAUGUGAUGGAAGCUAAAAAGUAUGUAAGGAGCGUAGUAAGUGGCGCUCUGUAGUUUCUGUAUACCAUCAGAUGUAUGAAUGUGAUGGAAGCUAAAGAAGUAUGUAAGGAGCGUAGUAGGUGGCGCUCUGUAGUUUCUGUAUACCAUCAGAUGUAUGAAUGUGAUGGAAGCUAAAUAAGUAUGUAAGGAGCGCAGUAGGUGGCGCUCUGUAGUUUCUGUAUACCAUCAGAUGUAUGAAUGUGAUGGAAGCUAAAUAAGUAUGUAAGGAGCGCAGUAGGUGGCGCUCUGUAGUUUCUGUAUACCAUCAGAUGUAUGAAUGUGAUGGAAGCUAAAUAAGUAUGUAAGGAGCGUAGUAGGUGGCGCUCUGUAGUUUCUGUAUACCAUCAGAUGUAUGAAUGUGAUGGAAGCUAAAUAAGUAUGUAAGGAGCGUAGUAGGUGGCGCUCUGUAGUUUCUGUAUACCAUCAGAUGUAUGAAUGUGAUGGAAGCUAAAUAAGUAUGUAAGGAGCGUAGUAGGUGGCGCUCUGUAGUUUCUGUAUACCAUCAGAUGUAUGAAUGUGAUGGAAGCUAAAUAAGUAUGUAAGGAGCGUAGUAGGUGGCGCUCUGUAGUUUCUGUAUACCAUCAGAUGUAUGAAUGUGAUGGAAGCUAAAUAAGUAUGUAAGGAGCGCAGUAGGUGGCGCUCUGUAGUUUCUGUAUACCAUCAGAUGUAUGAAUGUGGUGGAAGCUAAAGAAGUAACCUGUAAUGAACUAUAUAAUAAAAUCUAAGUAUCUGAAUGACACCCACUUCUAACGGUUGUAUCAUCGCGAAACUAGGCAGUUGUGUGUAGAUUGGAUGACAAUACAAUAUUAUGGCACCAUCGAACUGGUCUGAUGAUGGAAUUGGAAGGUGGCUGAUGGAACCUAGGACUGCCUACCUACUAGCAAACAUAAUGUGGAGUUUUGGCUCAUUAGAUAUGUCCAUUUCUCCUGAUGGCGCAGAAGCUAAUAUUAUUUUGUUUUUUAAUUUACUUAGUUACAAAUGAAAAUGGUGAUUCCAAAUUCCAAAUUCCAAAUAAACAGUAAUACGCGCGUGAGUUUAUAAUUUAUUACAAUAUCUACUUAAGUCGAUCGAUUUGAAUUUAAAUUUUCAAUUGUGGUUUGUGCGGGCUCAUUAACCGCGGGGUUACGGGUUCGAGACCUGGUAAGUGACAUUGUUUUUCUGUGAAUAAUUAAUUUGAAACUGUCAAUGUUGUAUUGUAAGUAUAUAUAUGUUAUAUACAGUAAAUCUGAUUAAUUGAAAAUUAUUAAUAAUAACCACACGUUUUGGUAAAUAUAAAAAAUUGUUUGUUGAACGUAAUAUACAAAGGAUGUUUUUCUACCAGGGAUGUCCUAUGUUGUUAUGCUAUGAAGAUGUAAUAACUAAGCUGUGAAACUAUGUGACGGUUUCCACUGAUACUAAGCUAUGUAGCGGUGCGAGGAAGAUGCGCAGGGGCCUUAGUCUGCUAUUACAAUUGUGUCAGAAUGGUCGAUCACUGAGCAGUGCGAGAGGGACGGAGCUAUACAACCUACAUAGCUCCGUCCCCAGGACUAAAGCCCUAGGUUGAGUGUGUGAUGAAUCGAUAGUAGGGAAACCAUCCAUAGCAUGCACCAACAAUACGUAUCUUUCCAUUAAAAAACAUAGGUUAGCUGACUCCGUUUCCACCAGUGCUAAAUAAAGCGCUUUCGCGGAGUAAAUAGCUCAUCCCUAAACGUUUAUUAUGACAAUAAUUAAAAAAAUAAAUAUAAUUUUUAAUUCUUCCAUAAUUAUCAUAUUUUUAUUGCCUACCUACAAUAAUUAGGUACGAUUUUGUUUUUAUAUGUGUUUAGUCGUAUUUUUGAUCGAAGUAGAUUUCCUGUUUAUACAAGGUUAUAGAGGUUUAUUCGCAGUAUAAAAGGUUCAGGUUUAUCAGAGAGCGCUGAUGUUUGGUCUCUGUCAAAUGUUACCCAGUGGUAGAAUAGCAGUGGUACAAAUUUAAUACAUAUUAUACUCUAUACAUAUAAACUAAUAGUUUUUAUAUGAGCAACUAGCUUCUGCCAGCAAAUUCGCCCACGUUCCCGUGGGAUAAAAUAGCCUAUGUAUUAUUCCAGACCAUAAUCUACCCUUGUUCCAAAUUUCAUCCUGAUCCCUUCAGCCAUUAUGACGUUAUUGUGUAACAAACAUACACACAAACAAAUAUAAAUAAGAAGUAAGAUAAGAUGAGUGACAAAUAAAUACUUUGACUUUGAUUUUGACCUUGGCUUUGACUUUGAGGUUUUUAUAUAAGACGCGUUAGGUUAUGAGACAUAAGAUACAUAAUAUGAUACAUCAGGUAUAUUGGAAGAUAUACAUUUUAACUAAUAUACCUACCUAGUUAUACCUAAAAUAAAGAUGAAACUAGUUUCCAACAAAAACUGGUUACUGAGAUCCGUCCAGUAAGACGGAUAGACAUUCCUACGACACGGCUGUACCAUCACGCUGUUCUAAAAAUAUCGUAAAACCACUUGACCAGGCAACCAUAGUACCGCCUCAAAUAUUUCUUCUUCUCACCUUUUAACCCUUCCCUGGACUUCCACAAAUAAUUCAAGACCAAAAUUUUGCCAAAUCGGUCCAGGCGUUCUCGAGUUUUAGCGGGACUAACGAACAGCAAAUAUACAUACAAGAUACAUAUAUAGUAUAGUAGAAAUAGAGCUUAUAAUUUGUGUUUUAAAAUCUGCUGUUUUCAAUAAUUGUAAACCACCUCUUAACUAAGUGUUGCUUAGCGUGAGGGAACACCUAAAUUAAUCCCUAACUUGUACGGAGCUGCGGACUACCUAGCGGGUUUACCGGGGCUCCGGCUCGAAAAGCAGGAGUAGGAACGGGGUGGUUUUUAGUUAGUAAGAGUCUGACACUCCCACGCCUCACUCAAGGUGGGAGAAGACAUUGAAUGGUGUUCACCCCUUAAGAAAGUAAAAUAAUAAAGGAAUCGCUGAUAUUAUAGCCGUUUUCCCCCUAAACCAGCUCUUAACAGAGACUUACUUAGCUUAAGGGACCACCUAAACGAACCCCUUAUUGGUGAAAAGCAAAAUGUAGUCAAUCUUAGAUGAGGGGUUCCGUAAAAUUUAGAAGAGGUUGGUAAAAGCAAGCAUUCAGCAUCAGGUCGGUUUUUCAUUAAUCAUUACGACUUUGGCCCUACAGAGGAGUAGACAGAGCUUCCUAGACUAAUAAAUAAAAUUGGAGUGUCUGUUUGUAAUAUUGAAAUGACCGUUAACAUACGAUACAUAUACCCAAAAUAAUAAUUUUCAUUUAUACAUAUAUACAUAUUUUAUUAUGUACCUGUAUAAAAAAUAUUUCUUUUUUGUUUGUUCUUAAAAGAGUUAUUUUAAUAUUUUUUUUUUGGGAUUUACCUAUAAGGAAAUAUUUUAGAGUAA